rnacentral:rRNA from 1 species
UACGAAGGGGGCUAGCGUUGUUCGGAAUCACUGGGCGUAAAGGGCGCGUAGGCGGCUGUUCAAGUCGGGGGUGAAAUCCCGUGGCUCAACCACGGAAUGGCCUUCGAUACUGGACGGCUCGAGACCGGAAGAGGUGAGUGGAACUGCGAGUGUAGAGGUGAAAUGCGCAGAUAUCGGGAGGAACACCUAUGGCGAAGGCAGCUCGCUGGGACGUUACUGACGCUGAGACGCGAAAGCGUGGGGAGCAAACAGG